AAGGCGGAAAUGAAGCAUGAUCUGGCUUUCAUCUGGUGCAUGAAGAAAUUGAUGACACAUUAGUUGCAGUCUACCUCCACCAACAGGGUGGAAAACAAAGGUCGCCAUUUCGAUUAGCUGCUAUCUCCCAGUUCAAGCACUUUUGCUGUCUGGACACUGGUUCCUGUGGAUGGGGUGUUACAAGCUUCACUGUCUGAUAUAGAAGUGAUGAGCAUCCAUAAGGACACAUGCCAGAAAGGGAGUCUCUUUGUCAAACCCUCAUCACCUCAUGAGGAUACAAUGGUUGACGAAUGGUUCUCAAGCACAUCGAAACUUCAACAAAUAAUUCAUGAAAAAGCCAGUCAGUACUAGCUACUAUACAGGAAUUGAACGUGGACCCUCCUGCUACCAGUCAGAGAUGUUACAUUUCAGGCGCUCAUUGACUUUUGGUGAAUUACUUGUUGACUUUGUCCCAAGAUUGAGCUUGCCACAGCUCACUUGCCUAUCUGUUAAUGUUGUGGCGUGUGUUGCAUUUUUCUCUUUGUGUGUUCCAGACUCAGAACGGUUAAUUUGGAUCAGGUCAGGUACGUUUCAUUUAGACAUGGCAAACAUAAAGUGGUGUAUCUCAACACAACUUAGCAGUGGCCUUCAUGCAUUACUGCACACAAACACAGGACACACACACACACAGGACAGACACAAACACGUCCCUUUGUGUUCCCUAGUCUCGGGGGUUUUACAUAUGCAUCAUCUUCACCAGCUCGCUUGCUUCCUAGCCAUUUUUUCUGCACAUUGUUCACUCUACUUUUAUCGUGUGCUAUAUAAUCUUGUUCAAGUUCUGUCAAACGACGUGUAAUGCUAUAAAAAAAUUCAGAACACUGUGGGUUGAAUGGUAGCGCAUGAAUGCAGGAAGGAAACUGUCAUGUUAUGGCAAGUGUUUACAUAUUGUACAUUUAACUACUAAUUUUAUUGGUUAGCUUUCGCCGGCAUAUCAUGUCAAGCCAUGUUAUAUUAAUUUGGAACACGUUCUUCUUAGUAGCCAGAGCAGCUCAUAGACAGUGAGAACAUAGCCCUGUGUGUUUGUCUUGUCCACCGCAGCCCUUGGGUUUCCUCCCUGAUGGCUACACAUGUCAGGGAUAGGUUUCAGAACCAGUAGUUCCCGCCAAGUGUGAAUUGCUUUUCAGGGGAUCAUCACGCUGGCAGAUGAAGCGUAUGGUUUAAAUUAUUUGCAGGACAGGAAUUGCGUAGCUUCACACAAAUACUACUACUACGACGUAAAAGUGGUUUCAAAUCUAGCUUUUUUGUGUUCCU